AAUGGAAUUGGAGGAUCAUAUGGUAACUCUAUGUUUAACUUUUGGAGGAACUGCCAGACUGUUUUUCAAAGUGGCUGCACCAUUUUACAUGCCUACCAGCAGU
rnacentral:pre_miRNA from 1 species